GGCCGGUAUUUCCCCAGGGACGCCGGAAUUGGUAGGGCGGAGAAUCGCAUGGCUUCUGCAGCGGAACAAUUGGCAUCCAACCUCAAUUUUUCGACCUUU
rnacentral:sRNA from 10 species